CUGAGGCCCCGAGGUCCACUCCGGCUGAGAUGGCACUGGCCGGGAAUCGGCCCGCAAUUCGCCACAGACUCAGUCUACUCGGUGUACUAAGCUCAUUUUACAACGCUGUUUCGUACAUGUUAUUGUAUUUGGACAUCACGGCCUCUUGAGUGGUCUCCCUCUCUGCUGCAAGCUGUGCUGUAAUCCAGAGACACUCGACUAUCUCUGUAGGGUAAUUUAUUCAUUCGGUUAACAUACAUUACUAUGAGCUUUUUAUAUACCAGUGCUGUUCCAAGCACCGGAGAUACGUAGCUAUGAACGAAACAAAUAUCCCUGCUCAGGGAAUUCACAAUAGAGUGAGGGGAAAUAAACGAAUAAACAAUGAGUAAGUAAAUGUCUGUGAUGUGGAGUGAAGCAAAGAAAGCGGAGAGGGAGUGUGGCGGGUAGGGUGGGAAUGGGAAGGAUGAAAUAUUAGAAUGUCCAGAGAAAGCUGCACUGCGAUACUUUUCAGCAAAGAUUUAAAUGAGAUAAUAGAAGAGGCCACUGUGCUCUUCAACGGAGUCUUUAUAAACAUGUUCCAGAUACAACAGCAAGUACAAACGCCCCAAGGUGGGAGCAUUGGCUCGUUGAGAAAAAGUCAGGAGGAUAGUGUGACUGGAGCAGAGGGAAAGGGGAAGAAUGCUGAGACAGUAGGUCAAGCAGGCAAUCCAAUCGAAUAUCGUCAGCCACCAUAGGUGUUGAGAUGGGGAGCCACUGGAGCAAGGUUUGGAGCAAAGGAACACCAUAAUGUGACUUAAAAUUUAAAAAAAAGAAAUUCCAAAUGCUGUAGUGAGAAUAGACUGUAAAGACCAAUUAGGUGGCUAUUGCAAUAAUUCGGAUAAGGGAUUAUAAUGUCUUGGAUCAAGGAGGUGGUGGAGAUGAUGAUAAGUGGUUGAAUUCUGUAGUUAUUUGGGAGGCAAAACUUUCAGGACCUGUGAAGGUUUGGAUAUGGAUUGUGUGAGGGAGAGAUGUCAAGGAAAACUAGGGGCUUCAUCCCGAGCAGCUGUCAGGAUGAAAUUACUAUUUACUGAAAUAGUGAAGAUGGUGGAAGGAGUAGAUUUGGAAAGGGGAAGAUCACGAGUUCAGUUUGGGGCAGAUUAAGUUUUGUUUAAUCAACAUCCAAGAAGAUAGUAUGAGAAAAAGUGUCAGGAGCUGAGAGAAGAGUUGUGGGCUGCAAAUACAAAUUUAAGAGUUGUUAGCCUGUAGAUUGAAAGCCAUGAGACUGGAUGGACUCAUCAAGGGGUUGAAUAGAGACAGAUGAAAGAAUAAAUCCUAAAACAGCCCCAGGGUAUUUCAGUAUUACAGAGGCUGAGAAAAAGAGGAGGAGAAUGCUAAGAGAUUGAGAAGGAUUAAUCAGUAAACCAAGGAAGAAAACCACAAGGGUGUGAUACCUUGAAAGCCAGGUGAAAAAGAAAUGUUCCAUUGAGGGCAGACCAUCUGUGUUAAAUCCUGCUGACAGAUCAAAUAAGAUCUCUUGCUCUGAGAGAAGUCAUGUAAAUAAUUAGCAGUUCUAUAAAGAGGAUCACAUGGCAAGAAACUGAAACAUUCUGACAGCAGCCCUGUGAAUGAACUUGGAAGUAGACCCUCCAGCCCUAAUCAAGUCUUCAGAGACUGUGCUCUCAGCCAACAAUUGACUGCAACCUCAUAAGAGACCCUGAGCCAGACCGCCCAACCAGAAACUAUACUAUGGAAAUUAUGUUAGACAAAAAAACAAAUGCAAGCAGUUUUCUUAUUCGAGUUCAAAAUGGGCUGUAAAGCAGCAGAGACAACUUGCAACAUCAAGAAUGCAUUUGGCCCAGGAACUGCUAGCGAACAUACAGUGCA